rnacentral:lncRNA from 10 species
GCUCUGCGUCCACGGGCUCCGGCGCGGGCUCCGAGAGCUGGGGGCGGCUCAUAGGAUCCAAAUCUUAGGCUUUAAGGGGUUCUGUGCAGAUCCUCAGCAGCCUCCCCAGCUUCAGAUCCGGCCUCCUGAGCUCCAGUCUCUCUGAUACCUGCACCCAGGCUCAGGUGCAGGCCAGAGCUCACCUGACUCUGGUGAGCUGCUCUGCCCUACACCGGGAUUGCAGCACACAUCACAUGGCGCUGUCAUUGUCAGAUCCAUCUCUGUGUCCCCACACCCAGCCUGACACAUGGAGCCUGGGAUACAAUAGAUGCUCAAACCGUUGGGACUAACAAUUUGUACCUGGCCUUCGUGAGACCCCUGGAGGGAACUGCCACUGGCGCUGGUUUCGUAGCAAGAAUAUACCUCAAAUGACCAAACAGGAAUGAAAAACUUCAGAUGGUUUAGGUGCCAGUGGCUUCCGAAUAAAACAGCAUUCUUGAAGUGAACAGCUGAUGAGGACAUGAAAUAUUAUGCCAAAGCUGGCAUCACACUGUUCUUUUUCCUGGAUGAAAAUCUCUCUGAGAAGCAUUUGCUCUUAACUUUGGUGUCCUGGGGACUGCUGCCUUAUCCCAGGAAGCCACCCAGAGUCUUGGAUGUGUGGGAUCCUUAGGACUUCAUGGUAAACCUGCUCUAGUCCCUCGGGUUAGUAAAAUGAAGCCCAGGACAUCUGAGAGCCCCCAGCACUUCCAUAGAAAUGGACCAAAAUCCCUUCUCCCAGGGGGAGAAACCUGGAAUAAGCUCAAGAGGACAGACGGCUAAAUUUUCAAGAAUCGUGUGAGCUGCUGUUAAACAAGCCAUUAUUAAAACUUUAAUUGUGUAAACUUACAAUUAGGUCAGUUAUAUUAAAAGUAAAAGUGAUACAUACCCCAAACUCAUCUCUUUCAAGUUAUUUUACUAUAUUUUACUGUUUUCUAUAGGCUUGAAGUUAUUUACAUCUACUGUAAGUGUGGGGGUGGAAAUUCAAUAUAAUGACACGCUACCAAGCACCUCUUCUCAACUUGGUGUUUAGUGACCUCACCAAGGUAGCUUCAAACAGGCUGUGAUGGGAGUAUUUACACCUCAGAAAUUAGCAAAUGCUAUUAAUUAGGGCUCUUUUCCCCCCAGAGACCCUGGUAUUAAGCAUUUAUUAGCACCUGGGCACAGUGGCUCACGCCUGUAAUCCCAGCACUUUGGGAGGCCGAGGCAGGCGGAUCACCUGAGGUCGGGAGUUUGAGACCAGCCUGACCAACAUGGAGAAACCCCGUCUCUACCAAAAAUACAAAAUUAGCCAGGCAUACUGGCGCAUGCCUGUAGUCCCAGCUACUCGGGAGGCUGAGGCCGGAGAAUCGCUUGAACCUGGGAGGCGAAGGUUGCGGUGAGUUAAGAUUGAGCCAUUGCACUCUAGCCUGGGCAACAAGAGCGAAACUCCUUCUAAAAACAUUUAUUAGCUCACACUUCCAUCUCUUACCUAGGCCAGUACUGUGGACAAUUCAGAAGCAGCUCCCUCCCUCCUUCUCCACUGGAUCUACAGUCGAAUCCCUUGAGCAUAGACCCAGAUCUUGCUCAAUUUGGGGUCAUGAUUUGGUGCCGUGGCCUCCUCAAAACUUCCUUCUUCCACAGCAUCACACAUUCCAGCUACACUCAGCUCCUUGCAGUUUCUUAAAUAAAAUACAGGUUUUCCCAUUCCUCUGGUGCUUUGCAUAUUAAUUUCCUUCUUUGGCUAGGGUAGGGGGGAUGUUUUUUCUCUCCUUUUCUAGAUUUUUAUUCUGCAAGAGUCAGAAAGUAUCUCCUCUGGGGAACCUUUCUUAAAUCCCCCACACCUGCCUCAUCCCACCCCACUGCAGGCUGCAUAUAGCAGUGUGUUGGUAAAUAUUUAACAGCCAACUUUCUGAAAAGGGAGGGAAAAAGUCCUUAUUUUUAGCAUCUGCCAAUUUCCAUGGUGUAAAGAUGCCCAUCGUGGCCAAUUUUGAGCUGACAACAUGCAGUCUUUGAGAGUAAAUUUGGGAAGAGGCGUGCCAGCUGGUCUGGGCCAAUUCCAGCACAUCACUGACUGGAUCAGAUGUCUUUUCUGUCUCACAGCAGCCACACCCCCAUACAGCCCUCAUAAUACAGUGCCAUGCCAAGCCAUGUUGGAGCCUGAAGCAAAAGGAAAAAUUAAUAACACUGAUCCUGUCUUCAUUUAAAAGUUUGAUCUCGGCUGGGCGCGGUGGCUCAUGCCUAUAAUCCCAGCACUUUGGGAGGCUGAGCGGGGUGGAUAACCUGAGGUCAGGAGUUUGAGACCAGCCUGUCCAACAUGGUGAAACCCCGUCUCUACCAAAAAUACAAAAAAUUAGCCAGAUGUGGUGGCGCGCGCAUAUAAUCCCAGCUCCUUGGGAGGCCAAGGCAGAAGAAUCGCUUGAACCUGGGAGGCGGAGGUUGCAGUGAGCCGAGAUUGCACCAUCGCACUCCAGCCUGGGGCACAAGAGUGAAACUCCGUCUCAAAAAAAAAAAAACGGUAUUAAAAUAUUAUUUAUCUUGUUUACUGAGAUUUUGGAUUUUGGCACCACACUGAAUUUGACCCUGAGGUAAGUGUCUUAUUCACCUCUUCUCAUCCUAGUCCUGACCUAAUAGCCCAUAUCACACUGUUACAAUUAAUUUCAGUAUAGCUGUCUCCCCCACCAACUUGUGAAGUUUAAGGACAGGAAUCCAUUUUUGUGUUCCUAGGACUUGGCACACAGUAGGUGCUUAGUAACUAUUGUCCAGUGAGGAAGUGGAUGAGCAGAUGGAUGAACCAAUCACCCAGUUUCUUUGCCCACAAAAUAAGACACACUGAUGAAAGUCAUCCUUGGCUAUUAACCAGGGACAGGUGUUAGUUUUUGAGUUUUAGCUCUUCCAGUUCAGCAAAGAUUACUCUGCCCCUGACCUAUGGAAGCCAGCUCCUGUGCUGGGCAUUUUGACCAGGGCUGAUCUGCAGACGCCUCCAGCCUGGGGAAACAAUGAAGGGAAAAUGAGUCUGGAAAGUGGAGACUCCACCAGGACCAGGGGUGAGAAGUCGCAGAGAGGCAGCCAUCCCUGAGCCCCCAGGCCUCAGAGCUCCUGCCUCUGGAUGAGUCCUAGGAGAUUUCCAUUUGGCAAGGGCAAUGGAAAGGAGAUCCAAGCACUAGAAACUUCAGGAUGGCUUCCAAGUGUCAAAUUUGAUGGGUCAGCUGCCGUCUGAGGAUACCAGGACUUGUUUCUGUGUGUGGUCACUGCCUCACUCUGAAGACCACCAAAAAAGAGAUUGUCUGGAGAUGUGGAAUCAUGGGCUUUGCAGACAUCUCACUGGACUCUGGUCUGCAUGGGCGUGGACGUUAAGAGGCUCUGUUUACAUAAGAUUGGCCGUGGCAUCUGUUUUUUAAGCACUUGAUAUCUGCCGGGUCUCCUGUAAAGAGCUUUGCACAUAUUAGCUCAUUGAUUACUCACAAAAUCCUCAGAUGUAGACAUUAUUCUGCUUCUUUUACAGAUGAGUAGCAGAGAAGCUGGCAACCUGCCCAAGGUCUCACAGCUGGUAACUAAUGGAACUGAAACACUAACCUAGAACCAUCUGAUUCUAGAGCCCAUGAUCUUAACCACUCUAUGCAAAGAAAAGGAAUUUCGAAGAUGGGCCCCUUUCCAGCACUAGUGCCUGUAAACACCAAAAAUAGAGGUGGGAUUUGGCAGAUGCAGUCAUUUUUGUCCUUCUCUGAGCUGGCCUUGUCCUCUGCUCUCCGAGCCUGUCCAUCACAGAAGCUCCCAGGGUCUCUCCCCCUACCACUCAUCCACUUCUCCAGCCAGUGUCCACAGGGGAGUUGAAUGUCUCUAAAGGGAAAUUCUUCCACUCAAAGACACUCAUCUCAUUUGGAGGAGUCAGGAGAGGAGAAGGAAGUGAAGAAGCAGUGAGCAUCUCUCAUCUGCCAAGCUCUAUGCACACAUUAGGGGUCCUUCUCAUCCCAGGACGAGGGGGCAGGUGUUUUUCUCAUCCUUAUAUUAAGGACUUGCAUUGUUCAAUAUAGUAGCCACUAGUCUCAUGUAGCUACUUAAAUUUCAAUUCC